rnacentral:lncRNA from 1 species
GUCAACUUCAUGGCGAGUUUCCAGGUGAUGUAGUACUCAGACAUGCCUCUCUUCCAAUGCACCAUACUCGGCUCCGGCUAGGUGUGUCAUUUGCAGACGAGCUUGAUUUUGGUUCGCUAUAGCAAAAUUCCCAAUCCGAAAUCGAAUUGCUGGCAUCUGAAUACCGCAACUUCCCUCCUUCCACCUUAUUCAUCUCAUCAAACUCUCCAUGAUGCAGUUUCAUACCAUGA